GGACCUGUAGCUCAGAUUGGACAGAGCAGCUUCCUCCUAAGACGAUUAUAGGCAAAGAAGGUCGUGGGUUCAAAUCCCACCAGGUCCG
rnacentral:tRNA from 1 species